CCUACGGGAGGCAGCAGUGGGGAAUAUUGGACAAUGGGCGAAAGCCUGAUCCAGCCAUGCCGCGUGGGUGAAGAAGGCCUUCGGGUUGUAAAGCACUUUCAGUGGGGAAGAAAGCCUUGGGGCUAAUACCCUCGAGGAAGGACAUCACCCACAGAAGAAGCACCGGCUAACUCCGUGCCAGCAGCCGCGGUAAUACGGAGGGUGCGAGCGUUAAUCGGAAUUACUGGGCGUAAAGCGCGCGUAGGCGGUCUGAUAAGCCGGUUGUGAAAGCCCCGGGCUCAACCUGGGAACGGCAUCCGGAACUGUCAGGCUAGAGUGCAGGAGAGGAAGGUAGAAUUCCCGGUGUAGCGGUGAAAUGCGUAGAGAUCGGGAGGAAUACCAGUGGCGAAGGCGGCCUUCUGGACUGACACUGACGCUGAGGUGCGAAAGCGUGGGUAGCAAACAGGAUUAGAUACCCCAGUAGUC
rnacentral:rRNA from 1 species